GAAGUCCAUCGCGCUAUCCAUCGAAGUUUCUUUCCUCCCGCCUUGUCUUCUCUCCCAUCACAUCGUCGACCUCUGCAACCAUCAACUAUUGUAGCGUCUCGUCCAUCGACCGAUCUAGCCAUCGAUUGUUGCAGCGCCGUUCAUCCGUCGACCAUUGCGGGUCUCACCAUCGCCGUUGUGAUAGAUGCUCAAACAUGGUCUGUGAUCAACACUUUCAGUAUUGGGAGUUUCAAGAUAUUGACUUGGGAAGAUGGAUAUUGCAAUCAUUCAAAAUUGAAAAACCCAUAUGGGAAGCAUGACAGAGUAUGGAAUGGUCAAAGAUAAUGAUGAACAUGUUACGUCAUACUGUGGAUCAAAUAUUUAUAAUAGACUGUGGGAAGUCGACAAGUUCUAGAAAUCACAACUGGUUUUCUUUGAGAAUAUUUUUACUAGCAAUUUAUCUUCUCCUCCUAUUGACUAGGAGAAGAAAGUUGUUAGUGUAUCAACCACACAUGAGGAAGGGAAGAAGGUGAAGGAGAUGGAAGCUAUUAGUGUACAACCGAUCUUGAAGGAGAAAGUUUAAGAGAAUGCGGGAAAGGAUGAGGAAGUGAUUGCUAUUAGUGUACCACCAAUCUUGAAGGUGAAUUGUAUAAGUCCCAUGUUCUUCUAUCUUAUUUAGAAAUGAACAUUUUACUCGUGUUCUAUCUUCAUUGUGCUAGGAAAAAGCUUCAAAGACAAUGCCAAAAGAGAAUGAAGUUACUAGUGCACCAUCCAAUUUAUCAAUAUCCUUGAAGUCUAUUCUUAGGUACGCUGAAAAGGUACCUAUACUCGUUCAUUGUUGAUUCAAAUAAAGGGACGAAGUAUAUUUUUGUAGAUCCAUCUCUUAUAUUCGCGGGCCAAAAUACUCGAGAAGUUAGAGCUCAGAACCUUUAUAGUAGAUUAAUGACUUCUGAACACGGUCAAUUAGUUAUUGCUUUUUAUAAUCCCGGUGAUCAUUGGUUGUUAAUUAUUAUCAAUGCGUAUGAUGACGUGGUGUACUAUCUUGACUCAUUGAAAACAAGUUCACGAGAAGAUAUCAAAUACAUAACAAAUAUGAAAAUGACCAUUUUUCUGUCUAAAAAAAUUUGCAAAAGACUCGAAAAACCAUAUUCUAGAAAAUAAUAAAGUGUCCUUUACAAGUGGAAACUACCGAAUGUGGGUAUUAUGUUAUGAGAUAUAUGCGAGGAAUCAUGACUAAAGCGAUUGAUAUGAGGAGCUCGUACUCGCAACUUGAAUUGGAUGAAGUAUGCGUGGAAUGGGUUGAAUAUUUAGGUCGUUAUAUCUGAUGGACUUACUAUAAAUUUUGUAUAUGUGACUAUAUGGGAAUGCCCAAAACUUUUUUUUGUGUAAAUGUUUUGUUUAGCCAUUAUAGGUUAUAUACUUCAAAGAAAUGUGUGGUGGAGAAUAGAAUUUUAGUCUUGUGAUUUUUGGAAUACGUAGUACAUAUAGAUUGGUCUUACAAUUUUGGAAUUAUCAUAUAUUGGGGUGGGUUGAUAGAGUAUAUACUGUUGUACGAUUGGUUUUGUAAAUUUUGGAAUCGUUCAUAUAUA